UCCGUUCCAGCUCUCUCUCCCUCUCUCGACGCUGCCCAUCGCAGCACGAUUCUUCGCCGCCGCCGCCGUGCUCCUAUUCCACUUCUCCCCGUUCGUCUCCUAUCACCAAGAUCGUUGCCGCCUCGCUGCUCUCCCGUCAAGCUCGCCCAUCGCCGUUGCUGGGAGGAGAUUGUUGGCCGUCUGAUUGUAUCGCCGCCGCCGCCGCCGCCGUGCUCCUAUUCCACUUCUCCCCGUUCGUCUCCUAUCACCGAGAUCGUUGCCGCCUCGCUGCUCUCCCGUCGAGCUCGCCCCUCGCCGUUGCUGGGAGGAGAUUGUUGGCCGUCUGAUUGUAUCGAUGCCGACGAGUUCGGUGAGCACUAGGUCAUUCUACACCGUCACCGGCGCCACCUCCUAGCGAAAUCCCCACCACGGAGGGCAGCAGGGCAGGCAGGGCAGCAGCCUCGACGCCACAGAUACAUGUGGAGAUAGAGAGAGGUAGAUUGAUCCUCCCCUGUUCUCCGUCGCCGUCCGCCGCCCCUGAGCACUACGCGGCUCGCCGGAUCAUGCGCUGCCCCUGAGCAGCGCGCAGUUCGCCGGACUGAUUCGUGCCACCCCCGCCGAACUGAGAUCCGCCUCUGCAGCGUGUGUGUAUGAUGUUGUUGGGUCGUUGACAUGGCCCGUGGUCCGCUUGCGGCUCAUGCUCAAGGCACGGUCGAGGCUGGUGUUGGGCGUUCUGCUGGUCGUGGCCGUGGACGUGGGCGUUUUGCUGGUCGUCGUGGACGAGCCACUGGCUAGAGAGGUUCUAAUAUAGGGCGUGCCCCUGUUUUUGAUCAUGUCGCUGCUUGCCGGGUGCCUGACGCUGGAGCUGAGCCUCUUGACAGGUGUAGGGGUGUGAGUCGGCGGGUGCCUGCUGCUGGAGCUGAGCCUAUCGCCAGGCGUGGGCGUGGUGCUCGGCAGGUGCCUACCGCUGGGUGUGGCGCCAUGCCUCAGCCAAGUGGUAGGGGUGUUCGUGGUCGUGUCCCUGGCCGUGGUGCUGAUUCUGGGAAUGCAGCCGCUACUGUUGUCCCUGGUCCUGGGUUCACCGCCGCUCCUAGGCGUGCGUCGGUCCCUAGGAUUGCUAGACGUUACAUGCCACGUCAGCCUGUUGGGUGUCCUCCUCGAAGCCGUACAAGCACGUGUGUAUCAUUGUUCUUCUUUUAUAUUUGGUCUCCUAGGGAUUGAUGAUAAUUAUUUCGUUACUGUGUUGUUUGCGACGUGGUUAGGUGAUGGUUGGUUCCCUUUUCUGAGCUCGGUCGUGGCUGUAGUAAAUCGCAGAAAACGGAAAAUGCGUGUUGAGUUUCGGCGCGCUCGA